ACAUUAUAACACCAGGUAACUACGAUGAAAAUUCCAUCAAUUUCCAUCCAUGCAUUCAAAUGUUAUCCCGCAUAAUCAAAUACCGUACACUGAAUCUUCAAUAUCAUUCAGUUCCGAUUACCCUAAUAGUGACUAUCCGUUGUAUCGUCCUUAAACAAUCCAAUUUUCAAUACUAUUUUAUUCAUAAUGCGCCUUCGCUAGAAAUGAUCAUUAAACUAUUACUGAAAGAUACAGUUUGUGAUCUAAAAACGAAUUAGUGGAAUCAGAUUUUUUGUCCUAGCUGUGUUUGCAUAAGUCGCAAACAAAAGAAAAAAAAUGGCGUGUUUGCGAUUGCAUCGAUAAUUUCUCGGUUGGAAAACUUCAAUUUAGCCGGAAAUUAGGACUGAAAGAACAAAUAUUUGCACCGGAAAAACAAUGAAAUUGGUUCUGACGGAGGUGGAAAAACCAUUCAGGCGGCUGCUCAAUCAACAGAAAAGCGGUAGUGAAAAUUAAACCGUGCCUUCUAUACCUCAAUUUCGGAGGAAUGACAACAUCAUCCACCUUGGCCGAUGCGCUGUCCAAUGUAGUCGUGCUGGACGAGUUGCCGUUGCCGACUCGACAAGCUUCCAUCGAAGCGGAGCCUUGUUCCGUUCUGUUUCAGACCAGUUUCGAAACUACAAUUUCGAGGAUCGCAGAGUUCGUAACCGGAAUUGUAAAUUCAUCAAGAACGACGAACUUUAAUUUGAAUCAACUUUGUACGAAGGAAAAAAAGAUGCCUUUAUGUAUGCACCUGGCGGUGCUGCUCCCGAGCAAAACGCUGUCAAAAUCAAACGACCAACCUAAACGGGUGAAAAGGUAAACAAACUUAUUUUGUACUCCCAGCGGAAGGCAGUCGAAGCCUUUUCCGGGGAAGUUGAAAUUCUGACUCCCGGUAAAUUUACGAAUCGCGUUUAAGAACGAUAACAGUACCUACUAGCGAAUAGCCCAAUUCCUCAAAUUAAUGUUCGUGGGCAAUCAGAAUGAACCAACGAGAAAAUCAUCAGCUUAUCUGGAGGUGGUGCUGUUCUUUAGUGAUAUGCGAAUUCCCUAAUUCCAUGCAAGUGGCUGCUAUCCAGCGCCCAAGUGAUCGAUCCCCAGGCGUAUCUGAUUCGUAUCACCAUUCGGAAGGACCACGUGAAGUACAUCAACGAAUUUUCCCGGCGGAAUGUGAAAAGUACCUAUUAGGCUGACUUUUGGAACGCUGACCAGAAUCAGGACUGCUGAGUGGCUGGAAAAUCCACACAUCAUUGACAAUAGCCAGGUUUACAUGAAAAUAAUGUUUCAAGAUGAGUUGAAAUUUCAUCUUUGGAAGCCGUGACAAUUCAAGGUAUAUUCCGAGUCUUAGACGGAUAAUUCUUUCCUUUUGCCCAAUCAUACUUGGUGGCUUGCUUGCCUUUUUUCCUUUGAAUCCGCUGCUCAAAAAAUGUCAGGAACCUUGGCAGGAAACAGACAUCUGGGCCCAGAGAAGGCGAGCAAAACUAAUUUUUGUUACACGACGUGAAAAGGAACAGUUUUUGAAUAACAUGACCGAGUACUACCAACGGAAAGACUUCUCCGAGGGCAAGGGAUUCAUAUUUCGAAUGUUUACGGAUGCUUCACAUCAUGCCGGAGAGGAUUUCUAAGAAAAGCCGGUUAAUGGUCACCUUGCAGAAAUGUUGACGAAAUUUACUGUUGCCCACAGUCUGGUCAUGAUUAUCUAACGGACUUCAAUCUGUACUACCAUGUGCUGGAAAAAAAAGAACGGCCGAGGAAUGCUCCAACUGCUGGCACAUCUGUAAAAGUUACAAAACAUGAGCUAUACAAUUUAUAAGUUUUCCGUUUAGGAUACGGAGGAAAUUCAACCCAGUUAAUGCAACGGGACGUCAAAGUUCAUUCGUAUCAUACAGCGAAGAAAAACAUGCCAGUUUUGACCAUUGCUUUCGGAAUAUGUAUUGAUAAACCGGAUGUGCGAUUUGUUACUCUUCAUGAGCAAAAGAAAGAAAACUCUUACCAGAAAAAUGGUCUUUCCGGGCAAGAUGCAAACGAGUCCGACUUCGAUGUCCCAGGAGGCUUUUCCAAUGUUUACUCGAUAUUGAAAUACUGCAUCAAUGGGA